CAGUAAGUAUUUUAAAAAAAAUUUUAGUUUUGGAGACUAAAGAUGGGGUUCUUUUCUUCUUACUGA
rnacentral:tRNA from 1 species